CCCGACUGCUAUUUGGGUGAGGAUAAGCCAUGCGAGUUGAAUGGGAAACCUAAAGUUCCCAUGGCAAACUGCUCAGUAACACAUGAUCAACUUACCCUAUAGAGAAAAAUAACCUCGGGAAACUGAGGAUAAUGUUUCAUAGUUGAAUUGGCUUGGAAAAGUUUUUCGACGAAAGGGGUAAAAAAAAUGGUUUUUAUCUGCUAUAGGAUAGGAUCGUGUUCGAUUAUGGUUGUUGGUGAGGUAAUGGCUCACCAAGCCGAUAAUCGAUAGGGGCCGUGAGAGCGGGAGCCCCGAGAUGGGUACUGAGACAACGACCCAGGCCUUACGAGGCGCAGCAGGCGCGAAACCUCCGCAAUACACGAAAGUGUGACGGGGUUACCCAAAGUGUUCAAUUUUGAACUGUGGUAGGUGAGUAAUGUUCCCUACUAGAAAGGAGAGGGCAAGGCUGGUGCCAGCCGCCGCGGUAAAACCAGCUCUUCAAGUGGUCGGGAUAAUAUUGGGCUUAAAGUGUCCGUAGCCGGUUUGGUAAGUUCCUGGUAAAAUCGGGUAGCUUAACUAUCUAUAUGCUAGGAAUACUGCUAUACUAGAGGGCGGGAGAGGUCUGAGGUACUACAGGGGUAGGGGUGAAAUCUUAUAAUCCUUGUAGGACCACCAGUGGCGAGGGCGUCAGACUGGAACGUGCCUGACGGUGAGGGACGAAAGCCAGGGAGCGAACCGGAUUAGAUACCCGGGUAGUCCUGGCCGUAAACGAUGCAUACUAGGUGAUGGCAUGGCCAUGAGCCGUGUCAGUGCCGUAGGGAAACCGUUAAGUAUGCCGCCUGGGAAGUACGGUCGCAAGGCUAAAACUUAAAGGAAUUGGCGGGGGAGCACCACAAGGGGUGAAGCCUGCGGUUCA
rnacentral:rRNA from 1 species